UGGGGAAUAUUGCACAAUGGGCGCAAGCCUGAUGCAGCCAUGCCGCGUGUAUGAAGAAGGCCUUCGGGUUGUAAAGUACUUUCAGCGAGGAGAGACGUGUGGUUAGUAACCGCAACGAUUGACGUUACUCGCAGAAGAAGCACCGGCUAACUCCGUGCCAGCAGCCGCGGUAAUACGGAGGGUGCAAGCGUUAAUCGGAAUUACUGGGCGUAAAGCGCACGCAGGCGGUCUGUCAAGUCGGAUGUGAAAUCCCCGGGCUCAACCUGGGAACUGCAUCCGAAACUGGCAGGCUAGAGUCUUGUAGAGGGGGUAGAAUUCCAGGUGUAGCGGUGAAAUUGCGUAGAGAUCUGGAGGAAUACCGGUGGCGAAGGCGGCCCCCUGGACAAAGACUGACGCUCAGGUGCGAAAGCGUGGGAGCAAACA
rnacentral:rRNA from 1 species